ACGGGUGAGUAAUAUAUCGGAACGUGCCCUAGAGUGGGGGAUAACUAGUCGAAAGACUAGCUAAUACCGCAUACGAUCUAAGGAUGAAAGUGGGGGAUCGCAAGACCUCAUGCUCCUGGAGCGGCCGAUAUCUGAUUAGCUAGUUGGUGGGGUAAAAGCCUACCAAGGCGACGAUCAGUAGCUGGUCUGAGAGGACGACCAGCCACACUGGGACUGAGACACGGCCCAGACUCCUACGGGAGGCAGCAGUGGGGAAUUUUGGACAAUGGGGGCAACCCUGAUCCAGCAAUGCCGCGUGAGUGAAGAAGGCCUUCGGGUUGUAAAGCUCUUUUGUCAGGGAAGAAACGGUUCCAGCUAAUAUCUGGAGCUAAUGACGGUACCUGAAGAAUAAGCACCGGCUAACUACGUGCCAGCAGCCGCGGUAAUACGUAGGGUGCAAGCGUUAAUCGGAAUUACUGGGCGCAAAGCGUGCGCAGGCGGUUGUGUAAGACAGAUGUGAAAUCCCCGGGCUCAACCUGGGAAUUGCAUUUGUGACUGCACGGCUAGAGUGUGUCAGAGGGGGGUAGAAUUCCACGUGUAGCA
rnacentral:rRNA from 1 species